GGAUGUGGUGAUCUGGCUGCAACAUCUGCAAGCCCAUUAAUUGCCUGUGUUGAUUCAGCUGAACUGGCUGGCUGGGUGGGCAUCCCCUUUCUCCUUCCUUGCUCCGUGUCUAUCCCUCCUCCAGCAGAGCACUAGGUGUCCCACACAGAAAGGCUGGCCUUCAGUCAAAGGCAUCUUAGCUGAUCUGCCGUAGUGGAACCUUCAAACAUGCUGCCAAAGCAAUGGGGGGGGUGGGAUGGGGGGGGCGUGGUAGUGGGGAGUCAGGCAGACAGUCAUCUUACGUUCUGGUCCAUCUCUGUAUGAUACCA
ensembl:misc_RNA Gm22325 predicted gene, 22325